rnacentral:rRNA from 1 species
UACAGAGGUCCCAAGCGUUGUUCGGAUUCACUGGGCGUAAAGGGUGCGUAGGUGGCCGGGAAAGUUUGAUGUGAAAGCUCGGAGCUUAACUCCGAAAUGGCAUUGAAUACUAUUCGGCUUGAGGGUCGGAGGGGAGACUGGAAUUCUCGGUGUAGCAGUGAAAUGCGUAGAUAUCGAGAGGAACACCAGUGGCGAAGGCGAGUCUCUGGACGACACCUGACACUGAGGCACGAAAGCUAGGGGAG